rnacentral:lncRNA from 1 species
CAGGUCCCUCCCUUCCGCAUACUUUCAAAUGGACUAAACAACCAGUUUCAGCUUUGAACAGUUCUCACUUUAUCAAUCCCAAUCUUUAAGAUCUACACAUGCAGGGCUUCCAACAUAAUGUUGAAGCCGUCAGAGGGAAACCAAUUUUGUCACUAUCAAUAGUAUUGACCCAGCAGGUGUGUGUUUCACUUGAAUUACGGAAGAAUUGCUCGAAAUCACACAGUUGAAGACUGAUCCAGGAGAAGGUUUGCUUAGACAUAAAGCCUAAUGUCUCUGGAAACCAUCGAAUCUCAGACAAAGUGGGCUGGUUGGUCCCCAGCAGAUAGGACACUAGGCUGAUGGGGGAGUGGGUGGCAAAGCGGACUGAGGUCAGAGGCACAGCAUGAGGUCAAGUCAGCGGCAAAGAGGAUAAUUUUUACACCUCAACAGAGUGGAUAUGCCAAGGGGUAGUCAGGACAAUAGGCUUAACAGUGUUGGAGAGAGAACACGUGUGUGUGACACAGGUGAGCACCUUUACAGGCUCUGUGAGACAGUGUCGCUGUGCUGA